CUCAGUCAGUAAAGUGCGCAAAGCGACUGGUUUUAGAUUCGUUUGUUGGGAUUCGAUUCCUGGCAAGAGUAUGCAUUUUAUUCUCCACCGUUUCCAGUCCACCUCCAGCGGAGCAUCCAGUGCACCAAAUGGUUUUAAAUUCUUCGAUUCUGACAAGAAAACUAUCUCCAGACUCUCAGGGUAAUGAGAAUUUCUCGAGGAACACAGCCGACACUGCAAAUCCAUUUCCUAUUUGGAGGGGGCAACAUUUACUUUGAAAUUUUAAAGACAUCUGCCAACAAGUAUACUCAUGUGCAUGUAACGCAAGAGAGUAUGACUUUAGAAAGUGUCUGCUGUGUUAACACAGGCGAGGCACAUGAACAGAGCACGAACUCAAAGAUUUAAUCUGAGUCCUGUUGCGAUCAUUUCCCAGGCUGCUGACACCUCAUUAUUUUAAAUUUUCCUUGACCUUUGUUCCUGGUCUUCGAGGGCCACAGUUAAGUGUGGCGGGUGGUGCCAGCGACACACUGCCGUGGGCCUCGGAGCACUGAGGCGACAUGCCAACGUCACUUUAUGUUCUGGUGCCGACCACAAUGCCACCAUCACAGAUUCUGGAAAAGACAGAGACAAGAUCUGAUAUGAACAAGUGAUCUCCUGGUGUGAAGGCGUACAAGAACGGAAGGCUUAGGAAGAGAGCAAGCAAGGGCAUACCUGAGAAGAGGAGCUUCAGUGCUGAUGGCAAGAGGCCGCUAUUGCUGUGCUAAAUAGUACCAUCACCUUACCACAUGGUUCAGUCAUGCUCCUGCACAAUAAAUAUCUAAAUAAUACAUAAACGAUGAAAACAAGCAAUCGCACAACACAUAAUUACUUUCGUACUGUAUUAUUUGGUUUUAAGCUUUCAAAACACAUACAAAUGAAUUUGUGAGCUAAAUAUAUAUCAAUAUUUUACCCUGAAAUAAAUUUAUGGUUCCCAGGAUAGAUCUUAAUGUAUGAAUUUCUUAAUUUUUAUAUUAAUUUAAAAUUCAAAUAAUUUGCCUAAUGGAUACCAAUAUUAUACAACAUUAAUAUUGCUUUUAUUAAAUCUCAAUUGCACAGAGGGAUGUUUUCCCACCUUGGCGGUUAAUGAAGUUUGAGAUGUAAAAUAGAGGUAGAGUAACUCUGUGUUUAGUGGAUGAUAAAUGUUCUAGUCUCAAGACCACCAUAACAGCGUAGACUAAUUUUAUAAAUUAGUGUUCAUUAAUUUGUUUUGCACGAAAUAUAAAUAACUUGUUUCGCGUA